rnacentral:lncRNA from 1 species
GCAAAAAAGUCGUGAAAUAAGAUAUGACUAGAAUGGUGAAAUACGUCUACAGUUGAAAAAUCACGAUAUUCUGGUAAAGUCUCGGUGCCGAUAGUUGCGGUCAAUUCAAUUUACCCUUAUUAUUCACUAUGCUGCAGAUUUGGUUUUUGGUGUCCGAUUGACUAUUGUGAUACCUUUAGGGAAGCGUAACGGCCCUACGAGUCAAACUCAUUGCUGAUGCCAUGAUGUACGGGCUUUUUUCGCCAUCCGAGUCCGUUUAGGGCUUCAAAAUACAGUUUUCUUAUUUCCGAUUAGAGUUAACCGUUUCGAUUGAGCCCUUAACGUUGUCGAAUCCAGUUGAAUUUUUUACCAUAGACAUCUUUCGUCAUAAUGAUCAUAUCGGACGGUCGAAUUUUGGUUUGUAAAUUUUAGUCAUCGGAAUCACAACGUGUCUACUAUUUACCGUUAUUAUUCCCUAUGGGGAGCCCUAUCGUCGGAAGGUAAAUGUCUCAAAAUUUUUAUAUGGGCAGUUGCGUCUCAUCUACGUGAGAGUUUUUUGUUUGGAAGGUUUGACCAAACCACGUAAUAUAGAGGGAGAUAUGAGCGUUUUCGUGUGAUAAGUGACGAUGGAUUAGGGUUAACCGUUUCGAUCGAGUCCUUAACGUUGUCGGAUCCAGUUGAAUUUUUUACCAUAGACAUCUUUCAUCAUAAUGAUCAUAUCUGACGGUCAAAUUUCGGUUUGUGAAUUUUAGUCAUCGGAAUCACAACGUGUCUACUAAUGUUGUAUAACUUGUUUAGUAGGUUAUACAACUUUGUGAACCAACUCUAUAUAGGAAGCAAAAUUAUCAAAAAUCUCGUGAAAUAAGAUGUGUUCAAAAUGGUGAAAUACGGCUAUGGUUCAAAAAUCACAUAAAUCAGGUAAAGUCUCGGUGCCGAUAGUAGCGGUCAACCCUAUUUACCGUUAUUAUUCCCUAUGGGGAGCCCUAUCGUCGGAAGGCAAAUGUCUCAAAAUUUUUAUAUAGGUGGUUGUGUCUCAUCUACGUGAAAGUUUUUCGUGUGGAAGGUUUGACCAAGCUACGUAAUAUAGAGGGAGAUAUGAGCGUUUUCGUGAAUUUAUAGACUUUAGCCGACGAGAAUAUUAAAAAAGUCGUCGGCUAAGG